GAUGAACGCUGGCGGCGUGCUUAACACAUGCAAGUCGAACGGGAAAUAUUUCAUUGAGACUUCGGUGGAUUUGAUUUAUUUCUAGUGGCGGACGGGUGAGUAACGCGUGGGUAACCUGCCUUAUACAGGGGGAUAACAGUCAGAAAUGGCUGCUAAUACCGCAUAAGCGCACAGAGCUGCAUGGCUCAGUGUGAAAAACUCCGGUGGUAUAAGAUGGACCCGCGUUGGAUUAGCUAGUUGGUGGGGUAACGGCCCACCAAGGCGACGAUCCAUAGCCGGCCUGAGAGGGUGAACGGCCACAUUGGGACUGAGACACGGCCCAGACUCCUACGGGAAGCAGCAGUGGGGAAUAUUGCACAAUGGGGGAAACCCUGAUGCAGCGACGCCGCGUGAAGGAAGAAGUAUCUCGGUAUGUAAACUUCUAUCAGCAGGGAAGAUAGUGACGGUACCUGACUAAGAAGCCCCGGCUAACUACGUG
rnacentral:rRNA from 1 species